CCUCAGCCCCGCCCACCCGCCGCCGGCUCCGCCCCCACGCGCCUGGCUGCUCCCCGCGCCUUUUCUCCGCGCCCCUCGGGCUUCUCACCCGCUGGCUGGCGGGCGACGCUGCUGGCCGUGCGGGAGCCGGGCGCCACUCGUCCCCUGCACUGACCCGGCCUCGCCCCUGCGGGAGCGCGAGCCCAGAAGGAAGAACACAGCCUCUCUCAGCUGGGAACAUGCCUAUCACUGCGAAUCUGUGAAGUCCUGUUGAAUAUAAACGUGGUCAGAGAACACCAGCCUCAGACAAGACUGCUUUGUGAUGGCAGUGGAGCAAGAUAAAAUAAGGCCACUUCAUGAUCGUAUCUGAAAAGAUAAAUAAGAAAUAGUCCAAAACCCCAAAUGAGCACACAUCACCCUUGCCUGGCUAACAGUGAGAACCUACUGCUUCUUUACCAACUGCAGCGUUAGCUUGAUUCCACUCCUCUCAUAGCCCAGAUAAGAAUUAAGAUACCCAAAUCAGAGAAUUUCUCCUUCCAGACAGCAUCCAGUGCAGGGAAGAUCCCCAAUUUCCUUGAACGCUCCCAAAUGACCUAAGACAGGCCCUAUCCUGUAGUAAGUUCUUCCCAAUAGCCUCUUACUGAGAUACCCCAUGCUCCCCCAGGGUGUACCUUUCUCGCAGUGAGACAGGGAAGCAGCUUUCUAGAGCGGCAGAUGUGCCCCUGGUGGUCUUUGGUUAGAGGACACUGACAAGCUCAUGGAGCAGUUAUUGCCCAGCCAAGAGCCCUCAUAUCUGCAUCUCGGUCAUUUAAUACCAAAAUACUAGGCACUAGAUCAGUGACGGUGAACCUAUGACACGCGUGUCAGAGGUGACAUGCGAACUCAUUUUUUUGGUUGAUUUUUCUUUGUUAAAUGGCAUUUAAAUAUAUAAAAUAAAUAUAAAAAAUAUGUCUUUGUUUUACUAUGGUUGCAAAUAUCAAAAAGUUUCUAUAUGUGACACGGCACCAGAGUUAAGUUAGGGUUUUUCAAAAUGCUGACACGCCGAGCUCAAAAGGUUCGCCAUCACUGCACUAGAUGCUACUCAUCGUGUGCAGAUGCAGAAACAGGCACAGCGAUGUUAAUUACUUGUGUAAGGUCCCACAGCUAUUCUGUGGCAGAGCCAGGAUCUGAACCAAGGAAAUUCCAUUGCUGCAUCUUGAAUCUGUUCAACUGCACUCAGGCAGUGAGACUUAGGAGAGAUGGCGUGUGAAUUAUGUUACAGGUCAACACUGUGAUAUGGAAAGUUGUUGUACAUGUGAGCAAGGAUAUGUUUAAAGGAGUUCAGUCUAGCAAUCAAAGUAUUGAUGUGUCUCUAGUAAUACUUUACUAGUUUACUAAAGUUGUUAUGUACAUCAUUUUUAUUCUUUAAAAGUCUUUCUCAUAACAAUUUUGACUUGGGAUAUAUAUUGAUAUGAACUGAACCAUUCCAGCAUAAAACUAUGGGGCUUUGGAAUCAGAUCACAUGAGUUAGAAGUCUCCUCUUUCAGUAACCGCAGUGCCUGACUUCGUUGGUAUUAUGUAAUUUUGACAAGCCUUACUCACUUCCUUCAUCUAUUAAAUAGUGAAAAAGUAUCUUUCUUAAAGCUAUUAUGAGAAUUAAACAGGACUGUGUAUAAGGCUAUACACAAUAUUAAUUUCCUUUCUCAAAGUAUUUGGGGCCUUGCCAAUUUUAGUUUAGUGAGAAUUAUCAACGCUGGCUUACGAAAUAUUGAAAAGUGAUUUGCAAAUCAAAACUAUGUGGCCAUACUUUACUUUCUAAUGCCAUCUCCAUGAAUACAAGGGCCAUCUCUGUUUUACCAGUGCCCAGGGCAAUGAGUGAGCUUGAUGACAGUGCACCCAUUUUCACUGGAGGCCAUGGGAGGAUGCUGUGUGGCCAGCUGAAGACUGCCGUUCUUAGGUUAAAAGCAUGCAGAAUUAUUAGGUGUGUUCAUUUCAAGUUUUAGUUUUUUCAAAGUUACAAGUUUAUAAAUAUUUCUCUCUUUUCCGCAUCCAGCACGGCUAGAGAGCGGUCCGGUUCCUGAGUAGGGGCGACAGGGGAUUGAGAAAAUGAAAGAGACAGACACAAAUACAGUAGGGAAAGCUGGGACUGGGUGGGGCCACUGUCCUCUGAUGGAGAGACAGGGACCCAGAGCCAAUAUAGCAAGUUUACUUUAUGCAGCAAAAACCAGGAGGUUUUACUAAAGGUCAAGACAGAGGAGAUCAUGUGCAUUCUUGGGUGGCCCGAGUCCUAUUCAUUCCUGGUGCUUGGCUGGAUUUAGGUAAUGAAACCCACCACCUGGCACCUGGGCUGAAGGUCAGGCUGACAACACUCCUGCCUCUGUCAAGGCCUGUUUCCAGGAUGUGGCUCUGCCAACGCCACUGGAUUCAGCUGACAAUAAUUAAAGAAAUGCCUAUGUGCCUUCCCAGGCGGUCUACACAAGUUCAUGUUUAAAAGGUGUUAUAGUUCACAGAGGUAAAGUUAUGAAAAAGUACCAGAUUUUAAAAAAUUCUUUGCAGCCAAUAUUCCAAUAAUUUUCUAAACUCUAGACUGUAUCCAGUGCAGUAAUAUUUUCUGUCACCUACUUACAAAAUUAAAAUUGUAUUAAAUAUUUAAAAAUAAACCAUGUACAACUGACAACGUUGGAUGGAAGAUGUUUUAUUUCAAGCAUAAUUUGGUAUUACCUUAAGUUUAUCCCUCUUAGUAGAAUUAGUCAAAACUGUCACCUGAUUGAAUGACUAAAUCCUUAAAAACUGGCUAUGAAAUUGAAAUACUAACUCCUUAUAGAUACAAAUGUUUUAUAUUCUUCCAAAUAUAAUAUUAUUAAGACAACCUUGUGGUAUAACUGUUAUCCCUGUUGAGAUAUGAUAGGGCUAAAAAGUAAUAUUCUUUAUCCAAAAUUCAGAACCAACUGAGAAGUGAGCAAAAGAGCAGUGGAGAUGGAGACCACAAUGUCAACUUCCUCCUGAAAUGUGAAGAUUGUGACUUAGAGCUAUUGGCAAGUGGGUUUCCUAAUCCUGACCUACCUAACAGGCAGAAGAGACCCAGCCUGCCCCGAGGAGGCUGCCCAUCAGGGUGCUACGUGGAGGAGCAGCACACAUUCUCUCGGAGGCAGGAAGAAUCCAAAGAGAAAGAAAAGAGAAAGGGGUCAGCCACUAGGUCCCCAAGCUCACAAGUCAGGUUUGGGGAAAUGCCUUUAACCAUUCCCAGAUGUGCCCUGCUGUCAUGCUGGAAUUGGUCUCUGGCACAUUUGCAAGAUAAUAAAGGUGUGUUGUCUGAAGUCACUGAACUAGCAGUAAUUUACAAAGCAUCAAUAGGAAAUAAGUGCGUCUCCCAGCUGGACUCCUCUAUGAAGACCAAACUUGAAUAGGGAUAGUGUCCAGUGUUAGACGUAAACAGAGAUCAAUAAACUGCUUCCCUAGGGUCUCAGCCGAGAGGCUAGCAGCCUGUAAACUACCCCUUCCAGUGUAGAAGGGGAAACAGAUGGAGUGGCAGCCAGCUCUCUUCCUGAAGUGAUUUCCAUGAUAAUACAAGUUAAAAAUACUGGGGAAUUCCCAGUCUCACUGCUAACUGGCAAGAAUUCAACUCUGGCCCAGUUCGGGUUUCCCCCUCCGUGUCCCUGCCUCCCAUAACUACAGCCUGUUUACAAGGUCAACAAUAAUCCCCACUCUGUAGGGAGCACAGUGUGCGCCAGGCACUCUGCUCAGCGUUUGGCACCCAGCACCCUAUUUUAUCCUCACAAAAUCCCCCUGGCUGCAGGAGGAAACGUGGGCCUGUUCUUCAAACUUCUGCUCACAAAUCUCAGUGGACCCUGACGUCAGUUUGGUGGGGAGUGACCAGCAGUUUCAAACUAUAAAAUACAAUAGGAAAUAUUAGUGGUUUCAAUGAUAUAUAUGGUGCUGGGUUGUGUUAUAGAACAUACGUCUUAAUCUGGGUCACAGUAAAAGGCAGUUCUUAUAGAGGCUUAGACUUAAAAUCUGAAACUCACCAGCAAAGUGAUGAAGAGCACAGGAUCCAGCUACUUGGCCCCAAUUCUGCAUCUGACCAGCUGUGUUGCACAAUGUUAGGUUUGAUGGAGCAAUUGAGUUGAUACCCUUCCCCUGGGAACUGGCUUUUCAGGUCAUUUCACUAUGGACAUUCCUUUUGCUGAAGACCACAUUUUACUUGCAGUGACCACAUUCCAUUCUCUCUCCUCCGGGUCUGCAGAAAGAAGUUCCCACCCAGGAAAAAGCCCGCCAAAAGUCCUUUAGAAGCCGCUGACUGCCCUCACUGGGUGCUGGAGCCAUCCAGGCUCAGCCACCUGGUGUGUGGAUGAUCGAAUAAAUCUGUAAUCCCUCACCACUCUGGCCUUGUGCAUUCCUCCUUCAGCGACUUAACAUUUGGUGCCAAAUCCCCGGAGGGUUCCAUGGGGAUGGGGAGCCAUCGUCCUGGCUUCAGUCACCCCGAGUUUGCUACUCAGAGAGCAGUAGGCAGCAGCAGCUCGUCCUGGGCUUAUCUCUGAAUCCUACUCAGGGAACUCGAUUGCUGGUCUCGAUUCAGCCUCUCUCCCUGUGGGCCCUCCCAAACUGGGGUAGAGGAGCCAAUGGAGGAGCCUAUGGAGGAGCAGUAGGCAGCGGCAGCUCGUCCUGGGCUUACCUCCAAAUCCUUCUGGUGUGACUCGAUUGCCAGCCUCGACCAGGCCUCCCUCCCUUACGGGGUCUUCCCCAGCCAGCUGAGGAGGACGCGGACUGGGAAUCUCUCCUUCUCCAUUGCUGAGCCUCCAUCCCACACCGGCCAAUCUCCUCUAGGUGAGUGACCUUCCACAAUUCCCCUCGUCUCAGGUCUUCUGCUCACUCUCUCUCACUGACUUCUCGAAAGUCUCUCAUCUCAAAAGUCCUAGCGCUG